rnacentral:rRNA from 1 species
GGGGAAUAUUGGGCAAUGGGCGAAAGCCUGACCCAGCGACGCCGCGUGGGUGAUGAAGGCCUUCGGGUUGUAAAGCCCUGUCAUGCGGAAAGAACGACCCUGAGACGCAUACUCUCAGGGAGUGACGGUACCGCAGGAGGAAGCACCGGCUAACUCCGUGCCAGCAGCCGCGGUAAUACGGAGGGUGCAAGCGUUGUUCGGAAUUAUUGGGCGUAAAGGGCGCGUAGGCGGUAAUGUAAGUCAGGUGUGAAAUACUCCGGCUCAACCAGAGAACACCAUCUGAAACUGCAUAACUAGAGUACAGAGGAGGGAAACGGAAUUCCCGGUGUAGAGGUGAGAUUCGUAGAUAUCUGGAGGAACACCAGUGGCGAAGGCGGUUUCCUGGUCUGAUACUGACGCUGAGGCGCGAAAGCGUGGGGAGCAAA